GAACCGGGAUCUGGAACCGGGAAUUGGGAUCGGGAAUUGGGAUCGAGAAGCGGGAUCGGCAUCGGGAAGCGGCAGCGGCAGCCGGGGAGCGGCCCCCGCGCGCAGCUCCAGCCAUGGGGGACAUGAAAACGCCGGAUUUCGACGACCUCCUGGCCGCCUUCGACAUCCCCGACAUCGACGCCAACGAGGCCAUCCAGCCGCACCACGAGGAGCCCGAGUCCCACGGGAAACAAAUCCCGGGGGACGCGGCCGCGGCCGAGCCCGCCCUGCCCCACGCCGACAUCUCGGCCGUCAGCGUCAUCGUCAAGAACACCGUGUGCCCCGAGCAGCUGGACAGCCUGGACCCCCGCGCCAAGGACGGCCACGGCCUGGCCCCCCGCCUCCUCCACAACGGCUUCGGGGCCCCCGACGCCGCCAGAUCGCCCGGGGCCCGCGCGGCCGAGGCGCCGUCCAACGGGGAGUGCUGGGCCAAGGAGAAGAACCCGAAAACUUUGGAUUUGUUCUCGCACUUCAGCCCCGACCCCAGCGAGGACGGCGCCAACCUGAUCGACAGGUCCCGGGAAUGCAAAGCCAAGGAGAAAUCCCUGGCCGUGCCUUCCCUGGCCGCGUCCCCCACCCCAUCCUCCAUGGACUGCAAGGAGCCCCUGGGAGAAGCCGCGGGGGGCUUGGAUCCCGCUUUUCCCGGCCCGUUCCGCGCCGCCGACGGAUCCCACCCCGUGCCCUGCAUCAAGAAGGAGGAGUCGGACGCGGAGGAGGCUCCGGGCAGGAGUUCCAGCCCCAAGGGCUUGGUCCUGGAUCACCUGAAAUCCGUCACCGUGCGUUAUUCCGCCGAGGAGUCUCCGCCGGCGGCGGCGCCGUGGCCGGGCUCGGAUCCCGGCAUCGACGCCGCGGCCGAGCUCAAACGCUCGCCGGGGAGCCCUCGGGAAUCCUUCUCCUCCCCCGGCAUCCCCAUCCCGUCCUCUUCUCCCAAACUCCUGAAGGAAGAGCGGGAAAUGCUGGAGAAAUCCGUGAGGAGCCCCCCGAGCGUUUCCAGCGGCGAGGAGGAGGAGGAGGAGGAAGAGGAGGAGGAGGAGGAGGAGGAAAGCACCAACUCGCCGUCCUCCAGCUCCUCGCGGCCGCUCAAAGUGCGCAUCAAAACCAUCAAGACCUCCUGUGGCAGCAUCACCAGGACGGUCACCAGGGUGAGCUCGGACUCGGAGCCGCCCUCCAGCAGAGCCCCCGGCGAGCAGAAUUCCCAGGAAACCCCGGAACGCCCCGGGACGGGCACGGAGGCGGCGCCCAAGGAGAAACCGGAGCUUUGCAGCCCUCUGAGAAACGCGGAAGGGCCGAAAAUCGUCAGCGUGCAGCUGGGCAACGGCACCAAGCUGAAGGGCACGGUGCUGCCCGUGGCCGCCAUCCAGAGCGCCAGCAGCGCCAUGCUCAUCGCCGCCAGCGUGGCCCAGCAGAAAUCCGUGGUUCUCCCGGCGAAAUCCGGCAAGUCCGUGGCUAAAAACAUCCUGAACUUGGUGCCGCAGCCCCUGCCCAAGGGCGACGGCAGGACCAACGGCGGCGCCAAGGUGAACGGCGGCGCGGCGCCGCCCAAAUCGUCGCCCAGCGUGGCCGGCACCGUCAUCUCCCGCAGCCAGUCCAGCCUGGUGGAGGCCUUCAACAAAAUCCUCAACAGCAAGAACCUGCUGCCCACCUACAAACCCAACCUGAGCCCCCCGGCCGAGUCCAGCCUGGCCCUGCCGCCGCUGGGCUACCGCUGCCUGGAGUGCGGCGACGCCUUCGCGCUGGAGAAGAGCCUGGCGCGGCACUACGACCGGCGCAGCAUGCGCAUCGAGGUGACGUGCAACCACUGCACCAAGCGCCUGGUGUUCUUCAACAAGUGCAGCCUGCUGCUGCACGCCCGCGAGCACAAGGACAAGGGGCUGGUGAUGCAGUGCUCGCACCUGGUGAUGCGCCCCAUCGCCCUGGAGCAGAUGAUCGGGCAGCCCGACGUGACCCCGCUGGCGUCGCUGGCGCUGCCGGCCCCGAAGGUGGCUCAGGACGGGGGGAAUCCGGCACAGGAGAUGCCGGUGCUGCCCCUGGGCCCGGAGCAGAGCAGCUACAGCUGCUUCAGGUGCCUGGAGUGCAAGGAGCAGUGCAAGGACAAGGCGGGGCUGGCGGCGCAUUUCCAGCAGGUGGGGGUGGCCACCAGCAGCAGCAGCACGGUGUGCUCGGCGUGCCCCAUGAUCCUGUCCAACCGCUGCAGCUUCAGCGCCCACCAGCGCAUGCACCGCAGCCGCCCCCCCCACGUGUGCCCCGAGUGCGGCGGCAACUUCCUGCUGGCCAACUUCGAGGGGCACCUCAAGGACUCCUGCCUGCACUUCUCCCGCAGGGUGGGAUACAGGUGUCCCAGCUGCUCCGUGGUGUUUGGCGGCGUCAAUUCCAUCAAGUCCCACAUCCAGAGCUCGCACUGCGAGGUUUUCCACAAGUGCCCCAUCUGCCCCAUGGCCUUCAAAUCCGCGCCCAGCGCCCACGCCCACGUCUACACGCAGCACCCCGGCUUCAGCAACCAGCAAUCCAAGAUGAUUUACAAGUGUGCCAUGUGUGACACGGUGUUCACCCACAAGCCGCUGCUCUCGUCCCACUUUGACCAGCACCUGCUGCCGCAGCGCGUCAGCGUCUUCCGCUGCCCCCAGUGCCCGCUGCUCUUCGCCCAGAAACGCACCAUGCUCGAGCACCUCAAGAAUUCCCACCAAGCCCAGAAAUCCAAGGACGACUCUUCCAAGAAAUCCCCGGCCCUGCUGACCCCCAAGCCGGAGCCCCUGGAGACUCCGGUGUCCAAGAAUUCCGAGGAGUCCUCGAGCUCCACGGAGGAGGAGGAGGAGGAGGAGGAGCCCCCGAGCUCCCCGGAAUUCCGGAAAUCCAAGCGGAGCCGAUUCCAGCGGAAAUCCGGGAGCAAAUCCAAGGGCAGCGGCUGGAGCUGCGGCGUUUGCCACUCGUGGUUCCCCGAGAGGGACGAGUACGUGGCACACAUGAAGAAGGAGCACGGCAAGUCGGUGAAGAAGUUCCCGUGCCACCUGUGCGAGCGCUCCUUCUGCUCGGCCCCGAGCCUGCGGCGCCACGUCCGCGUCAACCACGAGGGCAUCAAACGGGUCUAUCCCUGCAGGUAUCCCAAAAAAAAACCCCGGGAAUUCCGGGAAUUCUGGGAUCCCGGGAAUUCUGGAGAUGGCUUCAUCCAGGAGAACUGAGCAAUUCCUGGGAUUCUGGGAAUUCCCGGAAUUCUGGGAAUCCUGAAAUUCCUGGAAUUCUGGGAAUGGCUUCAUCCAGGAGAAUUGAGGAUUCUGGAAUUCCUGGAAUUCUGGCAUUUGCUUCAUUGAGGAGAACUGAGCAUUCCUGGGAAUCCUGGAAUUCCCAGAAUUCUGGGACUGGCUCCCAAAUGGGCCCUGAGGAGAACUGAGCAUUCCCAGGAAUGUCAGAAUUCCCGGAAUUCCGGGAUUUUCUCCCCCCAGGAAUUCGUGUACAUAAAACACGCCCAGAGCCUUUCCCGGGGGGAAAUUGGGAAUUUGGGAUGUCCUGGAAUU